rnacentral:rRNA from 1 species
GAUGAACGCUGGCGGCGUGCCUAAUACAUGCAAGUCGAACGAGUUCUUCGGAACUAGUGGCGGACGGGUGAGUAACACGUUGGUACCUACCCCGAAGUGGGGAAUAACUGGCCGAAAGGUCGGCUAAUACCGCAUAAUACCGUAAGGUUAAAGCAGUAAUGCGCUUCGGGAGGGGCCUGCGUCUGAUUAGCUAGUUGGUAGUGUAAUGGACUACCAAGGCGACGAUCAGUAGUUGGAUCGAGAGGUUGACCAGCCACACUGGGACUGAGAUACGGCCCAGACUCCUACGGGAGGUAGCAGUAAGGAAUCUUCCACAAUGGACGAAAGUCUGAUGGAGCAACGCCGCGUGCAGGAUGACGGCCUUCGGGUUGUAAACUGCUUUUAUAUGGGAAGAUUAUGACGGUACCAUAUGAAUAAGGACCGGCUAACUACGUGCCAGCCGCCGCAGUAA